AUCAAGGGGAUCUGACAUCGAGGGGAAAUAUAUGUUUCUUGGAUUUCAUUAAAGUACCUCGGUUUUUGUUUGAAGAUGAAUGAGAGAACAUGAGGCACAGCGGCAUUCAAAUUGACCAAUCAGAGCCGAGAAUUUCUAAUAAGUCGAAGUAGAGAUGAACAGAUGAAGAUACAGCCCAUAAAAAUACUUAUUCUUGGUGAGUGCCAUGUAGCGACGGAUCAAACGGACACUCAUGUCAAGCUUGAUGAGGACACAGUCAAAGCUUUAAAAGGUAAACUGAGGAGUUAACAAAAUUCUAAUGCAUAUCUAUGUUCAUUAAUUAUUGGUUUAUUUUGUAUAUAUUCUGUUUCCUUUUCACAGACCUUGUG